UUCAAUUUUCUAAAUAUAAAUACAAUCUCUCCCCUCGCUUCCUUCUCUCUGUACAGGGAGGGGGCUUCACUUUUUCUUCUCCUUAGCAGAAACCUUUCCCCCACUUUACGGACUCGGCGUUUUGCCGGCCAAAACUUUGGUCGGUUUGAGAUGAGUAUGAUGGUAGAUUUUAGUACAGCCUAGACUCUCGAGUCUAGCUGCACGCUUCUUCUCCAACUUCAUUUCCUUCAUAUACUUUUCAUCUGUCUCCCACAAAUGGGCUGUUUUAGUUCUAAAGUUGGAAGACAAGUCCCUGGACAUGAGGACCCAGUGAUGCUCGCAUCAGAGACAGCAUUUAGUGUCAGUGAAGUUGAAGCAUUAUUUGAGCUAUUCAAGAGCAUCAGCAGUUCUGUCAUUGACGAUGGGUUAAUCAGCAAGGUAUUUGAUGAGCAUGAAUAUACAACU